rnacentral:rRNA from 1 species
AUUGAACGCUGGCGGCAUGCUUUACACAUGCAAGUCGAACGGCAGCGCGGGCUUCGGCCUGGCGGCGAGUGGCGAACGGGUGAGUAAUACAUCGGAACGUGCCCAGUAGUGGGGGAUAGCUCGGCGAAAGCCGGAUUAAUACCGCAUACGACCUGAGGGUGAAAGCGGGGGAUCUUCGGACCUCGCGCUAUUGGAGCGGCCGAUGGCGGAUUAGCUAGUUGGUGGGGUAAAGGCCUACCAAGGCGACGAUCUGUAGCUGGUCUGAGAGGACGACCAGCCACACUGGGACUGAGACACGGCCCAGACUCCUACGGGAGGCAGCAGUGGGGAAUUUUGGACAAUGGGCGAAAGCCUGAUCCAGCAAUGCCGCGUGUGUGAUGAAGGCCUUCGGGUUGUAAAGCACUUUUGGCGGGAACGAAAAGGACUGUACCAAUACCACGGUUCGAUGACGGUACCCGCAGAAUAAGCACCGGCUAACUACGUG